rnacentral:rRNA from 1 species
GGAAUAUUGCACAAUGGGCGCAAGCCUGAUGCAGCCAUGCCGCGUGUAUGAAGAAGGCCUUCGGGUUGUAAAGUACUUUCAGCGGGGAGGAAGGGAGUAAAGUUAAUACCUUUGCUCAUUGACGUUACCCGCAGAAGAAGCACCGGCUAACUCCGUGCCAGCAGCCGCGGUAAUACGGAGGGUGCAAGCGUUAAUCGGAAUUACUGGGCGUAAAGCGCACGCAGGCGGUUUGUUAAGUCAGAUGUGAAAUCCCCGGGCUCAACCUGGGAACUGCAUCUGAUACUGGCAAGCUUGAGUCUCGUAGAGGGGGGUAGAAUUCCAGGUGUAGCGGUGAAAUGCGUAGAGAUCUGGAGGAAUACCGGUGGCGAAGGCGGCCCCCUGGACGAAGACUGACGCUCAGGUGCGAAAGCGUGGAGGAGCAAACAGGAUUAGAUACCCCCGUAGUCCGG